ensembl:lncRNA
CACAAAAGGCAUAGCAAAUACACAGGUGGGGGACAUCAGGUGUUGCGUAGAUGUGGCAUCAUAUGGAGACUGUCUGGCUGUGAGCAGGGCUGAGAGAGCAAGCUGCCAGUCAGUAUGACGGGAGGAUUGCAUUAGCUACGAGCACAUGUGGUAACCAUUUCCAGUCCAUAUCCAUAUAAGAUGGUGGACCUGCACCUAGAAAAGACCUGACUUGAACAGACUUGAAUGACCACGAUACAAGGAUACAACUAGAUGAGCCAGACAGAUCCCCUGUGAAGACAUAAUCGACAUGACAGCCAUCAGCACAGAUCCUCGUUGAAGACGACAAGAACCAGACAAGUCCUCUGCACAGCCCCUGUGACCAGUUUCAAAUCCUUCUCCAUGUAAUGUACUGCAAUCUUCAAUCAUAAGGAACUGGAUGAAUAUUCUGAAUGAUACCAAUUCACGAACUGACUUGUGAUGCGGCCUAAUGUUCAUUGUCCUGGCCAGACAGAACUGCUCCCUCCCUCCACCUGCCACUCUUGUGUUCAGUGGGUCUUUUAUAAGGUUCAAGUGAAAUUGCCCAUGUGUACACCUAAAACCUGUAACCUUCAAGCAGUGCUAGUAUGGCACAUUUAGAGUUCCUGGCAGUACAGUAUCGUUUCCUUUCCACUGUUUUUACAGAGAGAAAAAAAAUCAGUCUUUGAGGGCUUCACAUCCUGUUCCUGUUCUUCCUGACCUGAGGAUACCUGCUUCCUGUUCCUUGAACAACAGUGGCUGUAACUGAGGAAACCAACACUAUGACUGACUACACUGUUUUGAGAUGAAAUGUCACCAAGCAUUCCAAAGCUUGGAUUUCCGUUUUGCCAAUUUCUGCAACAACGUCACUACUGGGAUUGAAGCCUCUGCCUGCUUUCCCUUAUCUCCAAUGAACAGACAUGGGAGCUUCACGCUGAUUCCUG